UUCCUCCCGAGUGCUUGCACUCAAUUGGAAAGAGGAGUGGCGGACGGGUGAGUAACACGUGGGUAACCUACCCAUCAGAGGGGGAUAACACUUGGAAACAGGUGCUAAUACCGCAUAACAGUUUAUGCCGCAUGGCAUAAGAGUGAAAGGCGCUUUCGGGUGUCGCUGAUGGAUGGACCCGCGGUGCAUUAGCUAGUUGGUGAGGUAACGGCUCACCAAGGCCACGAUGCAUAGCCGACCUGAGAGGGUGAUCGGCCACACUGGGACUGAGACACGGCCCAGACUCCUACGGGAGGCAGCAGUAGGGAAUCUUCGGCAAUGGACGAAAGUCUGACCGAGCAACGCCGCGUGAGUGAAGAAGGUUUUCGGAUCGUAAAACUCUGUUGUUAGAGAAGAACAAGGACGUUAGUAACUGAACGUCCCCUGACGGUAUCUAACCAGAAAGCCACGGCUAACUACGUGCCAGCAGCCGCGGUAAUACGUAGGUGGCAAGCGUUGUCCGGAUUUAUUGGGCGUAAAGCGAGCGCAGGCGGUUUCUUAAGUCUGAUGUGAAAGCCCCCGGCUCAACCGGGGAGGGUCAUUGGAAACUGGGAGACUUGAGUGCAGAAGAGGAGAGUGGAAUUCCAUGUGUAGCGGUGA
rnacentral:rRNA from 1 species